AAAAUGUGUCUGGAAUUGGUGAGUUCUUGGUCUUACUGACUUUAAGAAUGAAGUUGCGGACUUCUGCGGUGAUCCACCCUACCACAUAUUGUCUCCUAAUGGCCGUCCAGUUUAUCCUAGAGCCCUUGUAUGACACAGGCCUAUUGAAGCAUAGGAGAUGCCAAUAUUUUACCUCUUGGGUACUUUCUGUGUAGAAGAUUCAUAACAAGAACAAUACUUAUUCUGUAAUUCUUUAUAUAAAGUAAGAAGAAAGCCCAAAGACAAAACCAGAGGCAACUGGCUGCUGCAUCACCCACCUAGUGGCAGUAGUGUGAGCUAUGGACAAAAGAUCUAAGUCUCCAGGACAAAGAGUUGUGCAGCUGCUCAUUUUCCUGUUGACUUCUGUCUAAGACUUGGAGAUGUUUGUAAGAUUGGGACCUACCUACAGAGCUCCAGAGGGAAGUGAGAAGGAUGUUCACUUGCUGGUGAGAGAAGGAGCUGGUU
rnacentral:antisense_RNA from 1 species